GCAAACUUGGUCAUUUAGAGGAAGUAAAAGUCGUAACAAGGUUUCCGUAGGUGAACCUGCGGAAGGAUCAUCACCAAUCCAAAAUUUCUGUACGUUUCAAUUUAUUGAUUCGUGCUAAACCUGUUUGUGAAUUAUGUAAUAAUGUAAAUGGUAUUGGGGGUAUUUAGUAAGCUGCAGUUACUGUUGUGAACUAAACCCUCAUGUCCAAUUAAUGUUAAACUAUUCUAUAUAUUUAUUUUACAAGUCUAAUUACAAUUUAUUGUUAAUUAAAUACAACUUGUAGCGAUGGAUCUCUUGGCUCUAGCAUCGAUGAAGAACGCAGC
rnacentral:misc_RNA from 1 species